GUUUAUGGCCAUCCCACCCUGAAUACGCCGAUCUUUGUCUGAUGUUGGAAGCUAAGCAGGGUUAGGCCUGGUUAGUACUUCAAUGAGAGAUCGCUGGGAAAAAUGCCCAUUUCCU
rnacentral:rRNA from 1 species